AUGGAAAAGGCAGGAACGGGAGGAGGAGGAAGGAGGGAGGGAGGGAGGAAGGGCAGCCGAGGUCUCUCCAGCUGCCCCGAUUCCCCUCGCUCGGCUUUUGACAUUUCCGAAGGCCGGGAUGAGCAACAGGCACGGAAAACCGACGGGGGGAUGAGCAAAUCCUUGGAUCCGCCCCAAGGAGAUGGGGAUGGAGCCUCCGUGCGUGCGGAAAAGCUCUGCCUUUCCACGGAGCCUCCGGCUGGGAUCGCGGCUCCCGCCUGCCCCCGGAUCAACGGGAGAUUAAAGAGAGCCGGGACAAAGCUGGAGCAAAGAUUGGAUUUUCCCUCCUGUCCGUGGAGAUCCAGGAGUUCAGAGAGAGGAAUUCCCAGAUGUUUUCCAGCCCCUUUCCUGUGUUAUUCCCUUCCAGACCUGCACGUUUCCGUGGGGAACGGAACAAUCCCCAUCCCAGUUCAAUCGCAGUGGGAAUUGGGUUUUUCCUCUGGUCCAUGGGAUCCAGGAGUUCCCAAUGCAGCAAUUCCAGGUGUUUUCCAUCCCUUUCCCCACAUUAUUCCCUUCCAGACCCUGAGUUCCCAUGGGAAGAGGAACCAUCCCCAUCCCUGUCCAGAGCAAAGACUGGAUUUUCCUUUCUGUCCGUGGGAUCCAGGAUUUCCCAAUGCAGCAUUUCCAGGUGUUUUCCAUCCCUUUCCCUACAUUAUUCCCUCCCAGCCCGGUGCACUUCCCUGUGAAAGGGAUCCAUCCCCAUCCCAGUCCAGCCAAGGCUUUUGGGGGUGUUUGAACCAUUCCCUGAUUUUUGGUGGAUUUUUCAUUUCCGAGAGACCCAAGUUUGGGAUGGCCCCGGCCACUCCCACGCAGCAAACCCAUGCAUCCAAACAUUUUUCCAAGGAAAUCUCUCUCCAAUCCCAUCUUCUGGGCGGCCAAAAUAAAACCAACCCCAAAAUGGGAACUUUUUCCCCUCUCUGCUCCCUCCACGUGCUGGAAAACCACUCGGAGCUGGCAUUGGGAGCAGCUUCUGCCUCUAUUCCUGGGAAUUCUGGCUUGGCUGGGCUUUAA
rnacentral:lncRNA from 1 species